rnacentral:rRNA from 1 species
UUGGAGGGCAAGUCUGGUGCCAGCAGCCGCGGUAAUUCCAGCUCCAAUAGCGUAUAUUAAAGUUGUUGCAGUUAAAAAGCUCGUAGUUGAAUUUCGGGGUUCUACCGUUGGUCGGGCUAUUGUCUGUACUGGCGUGUAGAAUUUCUACCUUCUGGGGAACUAUCAUGUUAUUAAUUUAGCGUGGUAGGAAACCAGGACCUUUACCUUGAAAAAAUUAGAGUGUUCAAAGCAGGCUUAUGUCUGAAUACAUUAGCAUGGAAUAAUAAAAUAGGACGGUGGUCCUGUUUUGUUGGUUUCUGAAUCACCGUAAUGAUUAAUAGGGAUAGUUGGGGGCAUUAGUAUUCAAUUGUCAGAGGUGAAAUUCUUGGAUUUAUUGAAGACUAACUACUGCGAAAGCGUUUGCCAAGGAUGUUUUCAUUAAUCAAGAACGAAAGUUAGGGGAUCGAAGACGAUCAGAUACCGUCGUAGUCUUAACCAUAAACUAUGCCGACUAGGGAUCGGACGAUGUUAACUUUUCUUGACUCGUUCGGCGCCUUACGGGAAA